UUUGCCACAGUUUUAAACUGUUUGUUAGCAACUUUCAAAGUACCCUUUGAAAUAUAAUAAACCUUUCCCAUAACAAAUUUGUCAAAAAACUUCCUAGCAGCAUCAUUAAACAUAGUUGCUUGAAUCUGAGUACCCUGAAAACAUUUCAAAACAAGAACAAAAACACAUCAUUCCCCAAACUUGAAAAAAACUACACAACAUUAAAAAAUAUCAAACAUGUUUGUUCCUUACAUCUUCAUCAGUCAAUUCAACAUUGAAUACACAACCUUCUCCUCUAGCAUUCUUAUAGGUACGCAUUGUUCCUUUGCUGGUAACACUGACCUUGAUUGUCCAACCACCCAUAUAAGGAUUCAAAGAAACAAGAGGACGCACCCUACGCGUCAUAGCCAGUCUCG
rnacentral:lncRNA from 1 species